AGAGUUUGAUCCUGGCUCAGGGUGAACGCUAGCUACAGGCUUAACACAUGCAAGUCGAGGGGAAACGACAUCGAAAGCUUGCUUUUGAUGGGCGUCGACCGGCGCACGGGUGAGUAACGCGUAUCCAACCUGCCCAUCACUUGGGGAUAACCUUGCGAAAGUAAGACUAAUACCCAAUGACGUCUCUAGAAGACAUCUGAAGGAGAUUAAAGAUUUAUCGGUGAUGGAUGGGGAUGCGUCUGAUUAGCUUGUUGGCGGGGUAACGGUCCACCAAGGCGACGAUCAGUAGGGGUUCUGAGAGGAAGGUCCCCCACAUUGGAACUGAGACACGGUCCAAACUCCUACGGGAAGCA
rnacentral:rRNA from 1 species